rnacentral:rRNA from 1 species
UACGGGGGGAGCAAGCGUUGUUCGGAUUUACUGGGCGUAAAGGGCGCGUAGGCGGUAGCACAAGUCAGUUGUGAAAUCUCCGGGCUUAACUCGGAAAGGUCAACUGAUACUGUGCGACUAGAGUGCAGAAGGGGCAACUGGAAUUCUCGGUGUAGCGGUGAAAUGCGCAGAUAUCGGGAGGAACACCAAUUGCGAAGGCAGCUCGCUGGGACGUCACUGACGCUGAGACGCGAAAGCGUGGGGAGCGAACAGG